UACGUAGGGUGCAAGCGUUGUCCGGAAUUAUUGGGCGUAAAGAGCUCGUAGGCGGUUUGUCGCGUCGGCUGUGAAAACUCAGGGCUCAACCCUGAGCCUGCAGUCGAUACGGGCAGACUAGAGUAUGGCAGGGGAGACUGGAAUUCCUGGUGUAGCGGUGAAAUGCGCAGAUAUCAGGAGGAACACCGGUGGCGAAGGCGGGUCUCUGGGCCGACACUGACGCUGAGGAGCGAAAGCGUGGGGAGCGAACAGG
rnacentral:rRNA from 1 species